GACGAACGCUGGCGGCGUGCUUAACACAUGCAAGUCGAACGGAAAGGCCCUGCUUUUGUGGGGUGCUCGAGUGGCGAACGGGUGAGUAACACGUGAGUAACCUGCCCUUGACUUUGGGAUAACUUCAGGAAACUGGGGCUAAAACCGGAUAGGAGCUCCUGCUGCAUGGUGGGGGUUGGAAAGUUUCGGCGGUUGGGGAUGGGCUCGCGGCUUAUCAGCUUGUUGGUGGGGUAGUGGCUUACCAAGGCUUUGACGGGUAGCCGGCCUGAGAGGGUGACCGGCCACAUUGGGACUGAGAUACGGCCCAGACUCCUACGGGAGGCAGCAGUGGGGAAUAUUGCACAAAGGGCGGAAGCCUGAUGCAGCAACGCCGCGUGCGGGAUGACGGCCUUCGGGUUGUAAACCGCUUUCGCCUGUGACGAAGCGUGAGUGACGGUAAUGGGUAAAGAAGCACCGGCUAACUACGUG
rnacentral:rRNA from 1 species